GACGAACGCUGGCGGCGUGCUUAACACAUGCAAGUCGAGCGGAAAGGCCCUUCGGGGUACUCGAGCGGCGAACGGGUGAGUAACACGUGAGUAACCUGCCCCAGACUUUGGGAUAACCCUCGGAAACGGGGGCUAAUACCGGAUACGACACAGCUUCGCAUGGGGUCUGUGUGGAAAGUUUUUCGGUUUGGGAUGGGCUCGCGGCCUAUCAGCUUGUUGGUGGGGUGAUGGCCUACCAAGGCGACGACGGGUAGCCGGCCUGAGAGGGCGACCGGCCACACGGGGACUGAGACACGGCCCAGACUCCUACGGGAGGCAGCAGUGGGGAAUAUUGCACAAUGGGCGGAAGCCUGAGGCAGCGACGCCGCGUGAGGGAGGACGGCCUUCGGGUUGGAAACCUCUUUCAGCAGGGACGAAGCGUAAGGGACGGGACCUGCAGAAGAAGCGCCGGCCAACUACGG
rnacentral:rRNA from 1 species